UUUUAACUCCACCAGAACAGGCUGAAGACAGACUGGCUGGAGGAGCGUUUGGAGACCAGAGACACGUUAGGCCAGUCUCAUGGUAAGAGGCCUGUGGCCAACCCUCUUGAUCAAUCCAAACCGCAUUAUGGAAGUUACGUCCAAGUAGACCGAAGUUACGUCACAGUGGACUGUGACUUGUGUCGUGCUGAGAAGGCCUGCAGCUGAAGAUAAACCCCAAAGACUCCAAGAGGAAACCCAAGCCGAGCUAGGGCGAAGAGGUCCGUGGCAGGGACCACAGACCCCACUAACCUUGGCCUAUCUCUCGCUAUCUCUCUCUCUGGCCCCACCCCAGGAAGAGCCAGAAAGGGCACCCUGACGACAGCCGCCAACCCGUGACCAGGCGCCCACAGCACUCACGUACGCACGCACGCACAGGUAAAGACGUUUAACGGCUCUGCCAUCGGCACCCAGGUAAGACGUUAUGUUUUUAAACAUGUCGACAAACUGCCAGGUAACACGUUCUGUCUAAAACUUUUCAGACUGUAGAAAUUGCGAUAAAAUAAGGGAAGAGACAAUUUCUCACCUCGACAAGCAACAGCGGGUCAUUCAUGUUGUCAUAAAAACCAUUAAAUUCAAACAUCGCACCGACCGGCAAAUCGACACAAGUCACGU
ensembl:lncRNA